rnacentral:rRNA from 1 species
AUUGAACGCUGGCGGCAGGCCUAACACAUGCAAGUCGAGCGAGCGGCGGACGGGUGAGUAAUGUCUGGGAAACUUCCUGAUGGAGGGGGAUAACUACUGGAAACGGUAGCUAAUACCGCAUACCAUCAGAUGUGCCCAGCUGUGAUUAGCUAGUAGGUGGGGUAACGGCUCACCUAGGCGACGAUCCCUAGCUGGUCUGAGGGGAUGACCAGCCACACUGGAACUGGGACACGGUCCAGACGCCUAGGGGAGGCAGAGGUGGGGAAUAUGGGACAAUGGGCGCAAGCCUGAUGCAGCCAUGCCGCGUGUGUGAAGAAGGCCUUCGGGUUGUAAAGCACUUUCAGCGGGGAGGCGUUACCCGCAGAAGAAGCACCGGCUAACUCCGUGCCAGCAGCCGCGGUAAUAC